GCAUAUCAAUAAGCGGAGGAAAAGAAACUAACAAGGAUUCCCCUAGUAGCGGCGAGCGAAGCGGGAAGAGCUCAAAUUUAUAAUCUGGCGCUUUCAGCGUCCGAGUUGUAAUCUCUAGAAGUGUUUUCCGCGUUGGACCGCACAUAAGUCUGUUGGAAUACAGCGGCACAGUGGUGAGACCCCCGUUCACGGUGCGGAUGCCCAAUGCUUUGUGAUACACUUUCGAAGAGUCGAGUUGUUUGGGAAUGCAGCUCAAAUUGGGUGGUAAAUUCCAUCUAAAGCUAAAUAUUGGCGAGAGACCGAUAGCGAACAAGUACCGUGAGGGAAAGAUGAAAAGCACUUUGGAAAGAGAGUUAACAGUACGUGAAAUUGUUGGAAGGGAAACGCUUGAAGUCAGACUUGCUAUUCGGGGCUUGCUCCGAGUUGCAGGCCAGCAUCAGUUUUUCGGGGCGGAAAAUCACGGAUUGAAGGUAGCAGUUUCGGCUGUGUUAUAGCUUUCCGUUGGAUACGUCCUGGGGGACUGAGGAACGCAGUGUGCUUUUAGCGAGGGCUUCGGCUCUUUCACACUUAGGAUGCUGGUGGAAUGGCUUUAAACGACCCGUCUUGAAACACGGACC
rnacentral:rRNA from 1 species